AACGAACGCUGGCGGCAGGCUUAACACAUGCAAGUCGAACGCCCCGCAAGGGGAGUGGCAGACGGGUGAGUAACGCGUGGGAACAUACCCUUUCCUGCGGAAUAGCUCUGGGAAACUGGAAUUAGUACCGCAUACGCCCUACGGGGGAAAGAUUUAUCGGGGAAGGAUUGGCCCGCGUUGGAUUAGCUAGUUGGUGGGGUAAAGGCCUACCAAGGCGACGAUCCAUAGCUGGUCUGAGAGGAUGAUCAGCCACAUUGGGACUGAGACACGGCCCAAACUCCUACGGGAGGCAGCAGUGGGGAAUAUUGGACAAUGGGCGCAAGCCUGAUCCAGCCAUGCCGCGUGAGUGAUGAAGGCCUUAGGGUUGUAAAGCUCUUUCACCGAUGAAGAUAAUGACGGUAGUCGGAGAAGAAGCCCCGGCUAACUUCGUGCCAGCAGCCGCCGCCGUAA
rnacentral:rRNA from 1 species